GAAAGUACAACGAGGAGGAAAAAUUCUAAGAGAACUGUACUUUUUUGGAGUUAGUCAAUCAAAACAUUACUUGUUUGAAAAUAUAGACAUGGAGAAAUCUUUAACAAGCAAGAUAUGACAGAAAUUAAAGGCUAUUCCACAAAACAACCCUGCCAUUCAUUCACUGAUUCAUUCUUUCAACAAAAAUAUACUGACCCCCUUCCAAAUGCCAAGCACUUAAUUAGAAACACAGUGGGCACUGUCCAUUGUUUACCCAAAAACCACCCCACUCUUUCCUACCAUGAAGAAAUACUGUGAUUUGCUGAUGUAGCAAACACAGAACUCUUGAUUUCAGGGAGAGGAGAUUGCCAGAGUCGGGGAAUAAAUCAUGAUUAAUCUAAACUUAAAAAAAAAAUGUAUGCCUCAUGGGCACUGGCCACUCUAAGAACAAGCCAUGUGGCCCCGUUUUGGCUAACGACCUGUAAACAGGUACACUCACUUCUCAUUAUUCAUAUAUUCCAUAUUUGCAAAUUCACUUAUUCACUUAUAUUUAUCUGUAACUCCAAAAUCAACAGUCAUAGCAUGUCUGCAGUCAGUUGUGGACAGAAGAGGAAAGGCCAAAAAUGUGUGUCGCCCAAUAUGUAUGUUCCCAGCUGAAGUCAAACAAGAAGACACUGCCUUCUCAGCUCUCACAGUGUAAGUGUCCUUUUUGCAGUCCACUUGGUGCUCUGUUUUUCUCAUUUUUCUCGAUUUGACUGUAUAAUAUGGCCCCUAAGCACAGUACCACAGUGCUGUCUCGUGUC
rnacentral:lncRNA from 1 species